rnacentral:rRNA from 1 species
UACGUAGGUGGCAAGCGUUGUCCGGAUUUACUGGGCGUAAAGAGCGCGCAGGCGGUCGAUUCAAGUCGCGUGUGAAAGCCCCCGGCUCAACUGGGGAGGGUCACGCGAUACUGAUCGACUCGAAGGCAGGAGAGGGUAGUGGAAUUCCCGGUGUAGUGGUGAAAUGCGUAGAUAUCGGGAGGAACACCAGUGGCGAAGGCGGACUCACGUGCCUGUUCUUGACGCUGAGGCGCGAAAGCCGGGGGAGCAAACGGGGAUUAAGAAACCGACGU